GACGAACGCUGGCGGCGUGCCUAAUACAUGCAAGUCGAACGCAGUGGGGACGGGUGAGUAACACGUGGGUAACCUCCCAUCAGAGGGGAUAACACUUGGAAACAGGUGCUAAACCGAUACUGAUGGAUGGACCCGCGGUGCAUUAGCUAGUUGGUGAGGUAACGGCUCACCAAGGCCUGGAUGCAUGGCCGACCUGAGAGGGUGAUCGGCCACACAGUGACUGCGCAACGGCCCAGACUCCGACGGGAUGCAGCAGUAGGUAAUCUUCGGCAAUGGACGAAAGUCUGACCGAGCAACGCCGCGUGAGUGAAGAAGUUUUUCGGAUCGUAAACCUCUGUUGUUAGAGAAGCGGUAUCUACCCAGAAAGCCACGGCCAACUACGUGCCAGCAGCCGCGGUAAUA
rnacentral:rRNA from 1 species